rnacentral:rRNA from 1 species
CGAACGGGUGAGUAACACGUGGGUAAUCUGUCCUGUACUCUGGGAUAAGCCCUGGAAACGGGGUCUAAUACCGGAUAUGACUUCGCACCGCAUGGUGUGGGGUGGAAAGUUCUGGCGGUACAGGGUGAGCCCGCGGCCUAUCAGCUUGUUGGUGGGGUGAUGGCCUACCAAGGCGACGACGGGUAGCCGGCCUGAGAGGGUGACCGGCCACACUGGGACUGAGACACGGCCCAGACUCCUACGGGAGGCAGCAGUGGGGAAUAUUGCACAAUGGGCGCAAGCCUGAUGCAGCGACGCCGCGUGGGGGAUGACGGCCUUCGGGUUGUAAACCUCUUUCGCCAGGGACGAAGCGUAAGUGACGGUACCUGGAGAAGAAGCACCGGCUAACUACGUGCCAGCAGCCGCGGUAAUACGUAGGGUGCGAGCGUUGUCCGGAAUUAUUGGGCGUAAAGAGCUCGUAGGCGGUUUGUUGCGUCGGCCGUGAAAACUGGAGGCUUAACCUUCAGCUUGCGGUCGAUACGGGCAGACUUGAGUUCGGUAGGGGAGACUGGAAUUCCUGGUGUAGCGGUGAAAUGCGCAGAUAUCAGGAGGAACACCGGUGGCGAAGGCGGGUCUCUGGGCCGAUACUGACGCUGAGGAG